rnacentral:lncRNA from 1 species
AACUCGUAGUUAUGGAGCUUGGGGAGCCUAAGAGCAGGGUGCCAGCAUCUGUGAUGCCUUCUAGCUGUGGUCUCACUAUGCCAUCUAAGUUGAUCCUGAACUCAUGGGCUCAACAAUCUUCCCAACUCAGCUUAUCAAGUGCCUGGGACUUCUGAUGCCUGUAUGACAUGGCUUUUUGGCCUCAUGAAGAUUUCUGAACUUGACUCUGUAGACUUGAAAUGUGUCUUGUCCAGUGGUUGGGCCCUUAAAAAUAAAACUCAGGUACCAUAGUCCCCAUACGAUACUGAAAGUUGGAGAGAAAAUGACUGUGUCCUCUAGAAUAGAAAAUGUGCACAAUGGAAAGCGAUAGACUCCAAACACUGUGGUGGCUGUUGAUUCUGGGUCCUUAUAUAGUUAGCUUCCUUUAGUGUUUUAGCAUUUUAGUUUCCAUUGUACUAGUUAAUGUCUUUUCCUUUCUGUUUGUGCUUGUUAGAAGUGAGCAUUUGUCAUGAAUGGCCAAACUCUGCUACAGUCUCUGAAUUCUACUACAGACGAAGCUGAAGUGAGAUUGCCAUUUGGUACGGAUGCUUAUAAUGCAGAUCCAGUGGCGCAAGUGACAGACAUUGCCAACACCUCUGCUCAAACUCAGAAAAGGCAGAAUGAAUCCAAACUACCUGACUCGAAGAAAAAGGUACCGAAUGGAAUUGUCUAUGUGAU